UCCAAACUCUUUUGGAGGUGUCAGCCGU
rnacentral:piRNA from 1 species